UACAGAGGUCUCAAGCGUUGUUCGGAUUCAUUGGGCGUAAAGAGCUCGUAGGUGGCGUGUCGCGUCUGCCGUGAAAGCCCAUGGCUUAACUGUGGGUCUGCGGUGGAUACGGGCAGGCUGGAGGCUGGUAGGGGCAAGCGGAAUUCCCGGUGUAGUGGUGGAAUGCGUAGAUAUCGGGAGGAACACCAGUGGCGAAGGCGGCUCACUGGACCGGAACUGACGCUGAGGCGCGAAAGCGUGGGGAGCAAACAGG
rnacentral:rRNA from 1 species